ACGAAAAGGAUCUUUUGAGUCUCCUGUUCAAUAUGAUAUGAUAGGAAUAGUAGCUGGUGUCAGUGGAGGAGUACUUGUUACAAUCAUAGCUGUGUUUGUUAUAUGUCGCAUAAAAAGGUCAAAACCUUGUAAACAGGAGGCUAGCAUUGGCAACGGUAACAAAGCUUUUGAUGAAUUACAAUAUGACGAAGAAAGUAAACUAAAUCCAACCUCGUCUCAAUGUUUAGGUCAAGAUUGAAUCACACAUAACAAUUCAAAUUUAAAUAUACCAAAGAAGUUGGAUCAUGGGGGUCAAGAACCAACCGAUCUUUAUAAUAUUUCCAACGAGGAUGGGACGUACGAUAUUUCCAGUAACGAUAGACAACGAAAAAACGAAAAUGAUAACGAUAUAUACAGUCACACGGCAGACAAUAUUUAUGAUUAUGGAAGUCAACACAAGCUACUGGACAGACAUGAAGAAACGUAUGAUCACUUCUUCGGACAGCAAACAGAAGAUGAAUAUUACACCACCACUCGAACGUAAAUGUUACACGUUUAAAUUGUAUAUAUGGCGUAAAUGCAGACCUUUUUUCGUGAAUCAGCUUGUAAAGCAAACAGUUAUAAUGUCAAACAUUUCUAUAAGUCUAGUUAAACCUAAUAUAUCAUACGCACAUGGCAGAUGUAUGCUCAUUAAAAACAAUAUCCAAAAUGAUAAAGUGUACAGUACAAAAUUGUUAACAUCAAAUGUAUUAUUCUAUGUUUUGAAUUAACAGUAUUAAUCAUGUUAACUUAGUUGAAUUAAAAUGCCUUCUGCAGUUCUUACAAAUAGAUCUUUAUUCAACGUAUUUUUAUGAUUCGU